rnacentral:lncRNA from 1 species
UUGCUUCAGAUUUUCAGGGUUGGUUGGAUGACCUAACUGAUGGUCGUGUCGAGUACAUGCCUGAAGAUGAAGUAAAGGUGGCUGCUGCUGAAAAGCUAAAGAUUUCGAUGAAACGGAUAGUGUUACUAAAGGCAGCAAGACCUCGCCCGAAGUCGGUGGCUGCUGCUGAAAAGCUAAAGAUUUCAAUGGAACGGAUUGCAUUACUAAAGGCGGCAAGACCUCGCCUGAAGUCUCCAAAAUCUGACGAUGAAGAAGAGGAGGAAGACGAAGAUGAUGAGAACCAAAAGAAAGAAGACAUGAUUAACGUUGAAAAUGGUAAAACUAAGGGGCAAACUACUUUAUUUAAGUGGUCGGCAGAAG